rnacentral:rRNA from 1 species
AUAGCGUAUAUUAAAGUUGUUGCGGUUAAAAAGCUCGUAGUUGAAUCUGUGUCCCACGCUGUCGGUUCGCCGCUCGCGGUGUUUAACUGGCAUGAUUGUGGGACGUCCUACCGGUGGGCUUAGCCUCUCGGGGCGGCCCAACUAAUAUCCCAUCGCGGUGCUCUUCACUGAGUGUCGAGGUGGGCCGGUACGUUUACUUUGAACAAAUUAGAGUGCUUAAAGCAGGCUACUUUCGCCUGAAUACUGUGUGCAUGGAAUAAUGGAAUAGGACCUCGGUUCUAUUUUGUUGGUUUUCGGAACCCCGAGGUAAUGAUUAAUAGGGACAGAUGGGGGCAUUCGUAUUGCGACGUUAGAGGUGAAAUUCUUGGAUCGUCGCAAGACGGACAGAAGCGAAAGCAUUUGCCAAAAAUGUUUUCUUUAAUCAAGAACGAAAGUUAGAGGUUCGAAGGCGAUCAGAUACCGCCCUAGUUCUAACCAUAAACGAUGCCAGCUAGCGAUCCGCCGAAGUUCCUCCGAUGACUCGGCGGGCAGCUUCCGGGAAACCAAAGCUUUUGGGUUCCGGGGGAAGUAUGGUUGCAAAGCUGAAACUUAAAGGAAUUGACGGAAGGGCACCACCAGGAGUGGAGCCUGCGGCUUAAUUUGACUCAACACGGGAAACCUCACCAGGCCCGGACACCGGAAGGAUUGACAGAUUGAGAGCUCUUUCUUGAUUCGGUGGGUGGUGGUGCAUGGCCGUUCUUAGUUGGUGGAGCGAUUUGUCUGGUUAAU